CGAUGGUAGGAUAGUGGCCUACCAUGGUGGCAACGGGUAACGGGGAAUUAGGGUUCGAUUCCGGAGAGGGAGCCUGAGAAACGGCUACCACAUCCAAGGAAGGCAGCAGGCGCGCAAAUUACCCAAUCCCGAUCCGGGGAGGUAGUGACAAUAAAUACUGAUACAGGGCUCUUUUGGGUCUUGUAAUUGGAAUGAGUACAAUUUAAACCCCUUAACGAGGAACAAUUGGAGGGCAAGUCUGGUGCCAGCAGCCGCGGUAAUUCCAGCUCCAAUAGCGUAUAUUAAAGUUGUUGCAGUUAAAAAGCUCGUAGUUGAACCUUGGGCCUGGCUGGCCGGUCCGCCUCACGGCGUGCACUGGUCCGGCUGGGCCUUUCCUUCUGGGGAACCCCAUGGCCUUCACUGGCCGUGGGUGGAACCAGGACUUUUACUGUGAAAAAAUUAGAGUGUUCAAAGCAGGCCUUUGCUCGGAUACAUUAGCAUGGAAUAAUAGAAUAGGACGUGUGGUUCUAUUUUGUUGGUUUCUAGGACCGCCGUAAUGAUUAAUAGGGAUAGUCGGGGGCGUCAGUAUUCGGCUGUCAGAGGUGAAAUUCUUGGAUUUGCUGAAGACUAACUACUGCGAAAGCAUUCGCCAAGGAUGUUUUCAUUAAUCAGUGAACGAAGUUAGGGGAUCGAAGACGAUCAGAUACCGUCGUAGUCUUAACCAUAAACUAUGCCGACUAGGGAUCGGACGGGGUUUCUUUUAUGACCCGUUCGGCACCUUACGAGAAAUCAAAGUUUUUGGGUUCUGGGGGGAGUAUGGUCGCAAGGCUGAACUUAAAGAAAUUGACGGAAGGGCACCACCAGGCGUGAGCCUGCGGCUUAUUUGGACUCAACACGGG
rnacentral:rRNA from 1 species